rnacentral:ribozyme from 1 species
AUUGAAGAAGAGAGCAAGGGGACGAGAGGGCACUUACCUUCAGUCUUCUUGUCCUUCAUCUUCUUCAUUUUCUUCUUGUCUUCUUUUCCUUUUAUUUUCUUUCUAAAAAAAAAAUUGGCUAAAUUUUACG